UAGCCUAGUGGUUAUGGCUAUGGAUCACCAAUCCGGAGAUGGCGGGUUCGAUUCCCGU
rnacentral:tRNA from 1 species